rnacentral:rRNA from 1 species
AGAGUUUGAUCAUGGCUCAGGAUGAACGCUGGCGGCGUGCUUAAUACAUGCAAGUCGAACGAAGCACCCUUGAAACCUAGUGAUGGGGUGACUGAGUGGCGGACGGGUGAGUAACGCGUGGGUAACCUGCCCCACACAGGGGGACAACAGUUAGAAAUGACUGCUAAUACCGCAUAACCCGCCAGGGCCGCAUGGCCCGGACGGAAAAGGAGAAAUCCGGUGUGAGAUGGACCCGCGUCUGAUUAGCUAGUUGGCGGGGUAACGGCCUACCAAGGCGACGAUCAGUAGCCGAACUGAGAGGUUGACCGGCCACAUUGGGACUGAGACACGGCCCAAACUCCUACGGGAGGCAGCAGUAGGGAAUAUUGCACAAUGGGGGAAACCCUGAUGCAGCGACGCCGCGUGAGUGAAGAAGUAUUUCGGUAUGUAAAGCUCUAUCAGCAGGGAAGAAGAUGACGGUACCUGAACAAGAAGCCCCGGCUAACUACGUGCCAGCAGCCGCGGUAAUACGUAGGGGGCAAGCGUUAUCCGGGAUUUACUGGGUGUAAAGGGAGCGCAGGCGGAAAGGUAAGUCAGAAGUGAAACCCCAGGGGCUCAAACCUUGGGAUUGCUUUUGAAACUAUCUAACUGGAGUGCCCGGAGGGGCAAGUGGGAAUUCCUAGGUGUAGCGGUGAAAAUGCGUAGAUAUUAGGAGGAACACCAGUGGCGAAGGCGGCUUGCUGGACGGGUAACUGACGCUGAGGCUCGAAAGCGUGGGAGCAAACAGGAUUAGAUACCCUGGUAGUCCACGCCGUAAACGA